rnacentral:rRNA from 1 species
AACACAUGCAAGUCGAGCGGUAACAGGUGUAGCAAUACAUGCUGACGAGCGGCGAACGGGUGAGUAAUGCUUCGGAAUCUACCCUCUAGUGGGGAAUAACCAGCCGAAAGGUUGGCUAAUACCGCAUACGUCCUACGGGAGAAAGCAGGGGAUCGUAAGACCUUGCGCUGAUGGAUGAGCCGAAGUCAGAUUAGCUAGUUGGUGAGGUAACGGCUCACCAAGGCGACGAUCCGUAGCUGGUCUGAGAGGACGACCAGCCACACUGGAACUGAGACACGGUCCAGACUCCUACGGGAGGCAGCAGUGGGGAAUAUUGGACAAUGGGGGAAACCCUGAUCCAGCGACGCCGCGUGUGUGAAGAAGGCCUGCGGGUUGUAAAGCACUUUUAGUGGGGAUGAAAUGUGCANGGCUAAUACCUCUGCAUUUUGACCUAACCCACAGAAAAAG